rnacentral:lncRNA from 1 species
GCUGCAUGGGAAAUGGUGAACCAAAGGCUGGGCUUUAAAGGGAGGCAAGCAUGUCAGAGUAAGUAAUGGAGGGUUUAUGGCUGCAAAACUAUAAUAUGCAUUGCCUCUGACGAUGUAUGAGCCAAGGAAAGAACACUGGCAGUCCCAGCAGGAAUACAGUCUUCACAUGCAAUGUGCUGCUUCUCUACGCAGAGGCCAUUAUCUGGGUCAAGCACACAGCUGCAGGAGGGAUAGGCAGACUCAAAGCAGUGAUGGAGGAAGGAGACUACCACAGAAUCAAGAGUCAAUCGGACUACGUUCUUGACACUGAAAAAUUCAUUGAACAUAGAAAACCACAAUCUAGGAUUGAGAACACAGGUCCUAGAACAGAGCUUCCACUUUCAGUGUU